rnacentral:misc_RNA from 1 species
AAGUCGUAACAAGGUUUCCGUAGGUGAACCUGCUGGAAGGAUCAUUACAGAGUUCAUGCCCUCAGCGGGGUAGAUCUCCCACCCCUUGUGAAUAUAAUUAUCCGUUGCUUUGGACGGGCCGCGGAGCCUAGCUUGCCCGGGUUCUGCCCGGCGUGCCCGCCAGAGGAAACCUAAACUCUGAAUGUUAGUGUCGUCUGAGUACUAUAUAAUAGUUAAAA